rnacentral:rRNA from 1 species
UUAAGUGACGAUAGCCUAGGAGAUACACCUGUACCCAUGCCGAACACAGCAGUUAAGCCCUAGAACGCCUGAAGUAGUUGGGG